rnacentral:rRNA from 1 species
AUACGGAGGAUCCGAGCGUUAUCCGGAUUUAUUGGGUUUAAAGGGUGCGCAGGCGGGAGAUUAAGUCGGCGGUGAAAUUUUGCCGCUCAACUGUAAAAGUGCCUUCGAUACUGGUUUCCUUGAGUGUGGAUGAAGUAGGCGGAAUUUGUGGUGUAGCGGUGAAAUGAUUGGAUAUCACGAGGCAAUCCGACUGCGCAGGCUGCUUAGUAAACCGCUGCUGACGGUGAUGCACGAAGGCGUGGGGAUCACACAGGUUUAGAUGCCCUGGUAGUCCAAGGCGGAAACGAUGAAUACUAGCUGUAUGCGAUACAAUGUACGCGGUUGAGCGAAAGCGUUACGUAAUCAACCUGGGGAGUUCGUUCGCAAGAAUGAAACUCAAAUCAAUUGUGGGGC